GACGAACGCUGGCGGCGUGCCUAAUACAUGCAAGUAGAACGCUGAAGGAGGAGCUUGCUUCUCUGGAUGAGUUGCGAACGGGUGAGUAACGCGUAGGUAACCUACCUGGUAGCGGGGGAUAACUAUUGGAAACGAUAGCUAAUACCGCAUAAGAGUAGAUGUCGCAUGACAUUUGCUUAAAAGGUGCAAUUGCAUCACUACCAGAUGGACCUGCGUUGUAUUAGCUAGUUGGUGAGGUAACGGCUCACCAAGGCAACGAUACAUAGCCGACCUGAGAGGGUGAUCGGCCACACUGGGACUGAGACACGGCCCAGACUCCUACGGGAGGCAGCAGUAGGGAAUCUUCGGCAAAGGACGGAAGUCUGACCGAGCAACGCCGCGUGAGUGAAGAAGGUUUUCGGAUCGUAAAGCUCUGUUGUAAGAGAAGAACGAGUGUGAGAGUGGAAAGUUCACACUGUGACGGUAUCUUACCAGAAAGGGACGGCUAACUACGU
rnacentral:rRNA from 1 species